ensembl:misc_RNA Metazoa_SRP Metazoan signal recognition particle RNA
GCCAGGCUUAGUGGUGUGUGCCUAUAGUCCCAGCUACUUGGGAGGCUGAGGCAGAAGGAUCACUUGAGCCCAGGAGAUUGAGGCUGCAGUGAGCCAUGAUUGUACCACUGCACCCUAGCCUGGGUGACAGAGUGAGAUCCUGUCUCAA